GAGUUUGAUCCUGGCUCAGGAUGAACGCUGGCGGCGUGCCUAACACAUGCAAGUCGAACGGGGUCAUUAAGGAAAAAUCCUUCGGGAUUCGGAAUUCUUGACCUAGUGGCGGACGGGUGAGUAACGCGUGAGCAAUCUGCCUUUGGAUGGGGGAUAACAGCCGGAAACGACUGCUAAUACCGCAUAAUGCAGCAGGACCGCAUGGUUUUGCUGCCAAAGAUUUAUCGUCCAAAGAUGAGCUCGCGUCUGAUUAGCCAGUUGGCGGGGUAACGGCCCACCAAAGCGACGAUCAGUAGCCGGACUGAGAGGUUGAACGGCCACAUUGGGACUGUGAUACGGCCCAGACUCCUACGGGAGGCAGCAGUGGGGAAUAUUGGGCAAUGGGCGCAAGCCUGACCCAGCAACGCCGCGUGAAGGAAGAAGGCUUUUGGGUUGUAAACUUCUUUUGACAGGGAAGAGCAGAAGACGGUACCUGUCGAAUAAGCCACGGCUAACUACGUGCCAGCAGCCGCGGUAAUACGUAGGUGGCAAGCGUUGUCCGGAUUUACUGGGUGUAAAGGGCGUGUAGCCGGGCUGACAAGUCAGAUGUGAAAUCCGGGGGCUCAACCCCCGAACUGCAUUUGAAACUGUUGGUCUUGAGUAUCGGAGAGGCAGGCGGAAUUCCUAGUGUAGCGGUGAAAUGCG
rnacentral:rRNA from 1 species